rnacentral:rRNA from 1 species
UACUUAGUGGCGGACGGGUGAGUAACGCGUGGGUAACCUGCCUUACACUGGGGGAUAACACUUAGAAAUAGGUGCUAAUACCGCACAGGCGCACGAAGCUGCAUGGAUUUGUGUGAAAAACUCCGGUGGUGUAAGAUGGACCCGCGUCUGAUUAGCUUGUUGGCGGGGUAACGGCCCACCAAGGCGACGAUCAGUAGCCGGCCUGAGAGGGUGGACGGCCACAUUGGGACUGAGACACGGCCCAAACUCCUACGGAAGGCAGCAG